AUACUCAUAAAUCAAAGCUUAAUUCGAUAAAUAUGAUCUAAAUAAAAUUUUUUUUUGAGAUAGGUAGCACGCUAUCCGUUUCGUUUAUUUCAUUUAGAAAUAAACUUAGCUGGAAAUGUAAAUCAACUAGGAUUCGAACUUGGGACCUCGGGUACCAACCACCAAGCCUUUUGCCACUUGCUCUAGAGACGGUCGGUUUGAUCUAAAUAACUAUUGUUCUUCCAACGCUUAAACUAUUAUUUUUCUCACGUUCCAACUCGAGAUAUUAUAAUUAAGUCUCAGACGUGGACUUAAAUUAAUA
rnacentral:lncRNA from 1 species